GACGAACGCUGGCGGCGUGCUUAACACAUGCAAGUCGAGCGGUAAGGCCCUUUCGGGGGUACGACGAGCGGCGAACGGGUGAGUAACACGUGGGUGACCUGCCUCUAGCUCUGGGAUAAGCCCGGGAAACUGGGUCUAAUACUGGAUAUGACUCCAUGACGCAUGCUGUGGGGUGGAAAGCCUUGUGCGGCUAGAGAUGGGCCCGCGGCCUAUCAGCUUGUUGGUGGGGUGAGGCCUACCAAGGCGACGACGGGUAGCCGGCCUGAGAGGGCGACCGGCCACACUGGGACUGAGACACGGCCCAGACUCCUACGGGAGGCAGCAGUGGGGAAUCUUGCGCAAUGGGCGAAAGCCUGACGCAGCGACGCCGCGUGAGGGAUGACGGCCU
rnacentral:rRNA from 1 species